rnacentral:rRNA from 1 species
AUUGAACGCUGGCGGCAGGCUUAACACAUGCAAGUCGAGCGGGGUGAUGGUGCUUGCACUAUCACUUAGCGGCGGACGGGUGAGUAAUGCUUAGGAAUCUGCCUAUUAGUGGGGGACAACAUCUCGAAAGGGAUGCUAAUACCGCAUACGUCCUACGGGAGAAGGCAGGGGAUCACUUGUGACCUUGCGCUAAUAGAUGAGCCUAAGUCGGAUUAGCUAGUUGGUGGGGUAAAGGCCUACCAAGGCGACGAUCUGUAGCGGGUCUGAGAGGAUGAUCCGCCACACUGGGACUGAGAUACGGCCCAGACUCCUACGGGAGGCAGCAGUGGGGAAUAUUGGACAAUGGGGGGAACCCUGAUCCAGCCAUGCCGCGUGUGUGAAGAAGGCCUUAUGGUUGUAAAGCACUUUAAGCGAGGAGGAGGCUCUUUUGGUUAAUACCCAAGAUGAGUGGACGUUACUCGCAGAAUAAGCACCGGCUAACUCUGUGCCAGCAGCCGCGGUAA